rnacentral:lncRNA from 13 species
CUAAGACUUAAUGUUAGACUGGCACUUUUUGGAUGAGGCAGAGACUAAAAAUUAGAACUGCACUCUGAGCUGAAGUGGGAACCAGAUCAGCCAUGUGUGCUGUGAGGAAGAAGAUUUUAUCUAGCAGAGCCAAAUAUAUGGAAGAUGCUAUGGAAGAAAUCUAAUACGGCAGGAAAAGUUCUAAGAUGGCCAUGAUGACAUUAACCUUUUGGUGUUUUCCCCUGUGAAACCUUGUAAGAUUUUCUGCACAGAGUCAAACUAUGCUAUACCUAGAUUCCCCCAAGGAAGUUGUGAGAUCAUAAAGUUGUAUUGUUUGAAGGCACCAAGCCUGUGGUGAUUACACAGCAAUAGAAAACUAGUACAACUAGUGAAGCAGUUGGCACAGAGGAGGCCAGGCCGCAAUACCAGGGUAACGUGACUUAAAGAUGGCGCACAAUGAGACUUCUUUCGUGAAACCACUGGGCUGCUGGAGAGUGUAUGAAUGAAUGACUCAGGAGCAAUAAAUAUAUACUGAUGACAUUGAAGCAGAAAGCGUAAAGAAAAACGAGUUUCCAAGGCUGGCUCGCUGCAAGGCCUAGAGAUGGGCAGAGCCCAGGGAGAGCUCUGAUAGCACUAUCUACAAAGCCUUCAAAGGACGGGCUCCAGACUCUCGCCUCUCAUCCUGGAACAGAGAUGAAGUUCACCAUUCCAGUUAACUGUACCACUCCUUGCCUGAUUACUUAUUGUCUUUGUUUUGUUUAAGGUAAGAGCUCAUUGAUUGGUUAAAAACAUUAACUUUUCCCUUGGGUCAAGGAAUUAUGUGGUAGUGUAAAUAUAACAGAUUUGUAUUUUAGAGACAAGUCCUAGUCUGGGCCCCAUAAUAAAAUUUUUUAUUACCUUAACA